GGCACCGGGGCGGAGGUUCCCGCAAAAGCCAUGCCCGCCCAGCCCCCGGAUUUCGGGCCCAGUUGUGUGGAAGAGAAGCAGAAACCUGCGCCAGGGCCUGGGGCCUCGACCUUCGAAGACCCCCAGGCCCCCCUUCCCCCCCCCCCCCCCCCAAGGUACUGUGCUAAACUGUUGACACAGAAAACUGCUGAACCCUUACCCCAGCCUUGCAAGAUUUAUCUUCAUUGAUAGAGGCAGAAGCAGAAGCCUAAGUUCGAGCCUAAGUUCAAGUUAGUGUUGCUUCUGCUCUAUGAAGACUUCUGGUCCGUCCCAAACAGGCAGGACGGAAGAGGGAGAAUGUGUUCUUGGAGAAGGAGAUGACCGGACAAGGAGGGCUGCAGGAGAGAUCUGGGGGCCAAGAGAGGCUGCAGCAUGGAGGGAGCAAAGUUGGUGUCCUUGAAUUUCAAAGGCAUGUAAAUAUCAGCAUCCCAACUGGAGCGCAGCGGUUUUUCUCCUGCUUGUUGCCGAAAGGAAGCCAAGAGGCAGGGGAGUUGGUUCCAGCCCUUAGCUGGGCUUUCUGAACCUACGGAUUACAUGAGCGCAAACCCAGGUAGAUCACCACUGGACCUUCGAAAUGAGGGAAAAAUUGAAACAGAAGACAAAAACAGCGAUGCGAGUCCCUCGUGAAAUUAACCAGGAUCCACACAUCAUGAAUAUAGAUGACCAUUGGGCGUCAUCUGCUACACAAACUACAGGGUCGUGGUCACUCCAUCCUAGACGACUGCUUUCUGAAGGCAUUUUCAACUCGCUAAUAAUGCUCAUUCUCCAUCAGCGUGCUCCGUCUGUCUGGGGGAAGGAUUUUGUUGACUGCAAUUUGAAACUUCCGUCGAAUUUAAGGGGUAGUGGCAACUCAGACAGCAGCUUAUACACCUGUGUUCCUGCGAUGCUCUUUCCGUCACAGCCCUGGGCAGCUUUUUGGACCUUUUGGCUGCCAUCCUUUUCCAGCCGAGAAGCUUUUCUUCUGUUUUAUGCUACCACCACCUGCUGUCCUGUUCCUACCACACAGAAACUCGUCUCCCCUUUUCCCAAAGGAACGAAUCUGACUGCAAGGCCACGAUAGGAAUAUCUUUCAGGGAGAUUAAGCAAUGACACAACUUUUCGAGGCUUAAUUUUAAAAGCACAGACUUUUAAAAUGAACGUGUUAUUUUAAAUGCCUGUAAAGAAAGUACUUUUCUUUUAGUCAUGUGAUGAUAAAGGGCUGAAUAUGAUUUUCACCAUGGCAAGAGGAAACGAUCGGAUGGGUGAUCCUUUUCAUUUAUUUUUAUUUAACAAACAUUUAAAUCGUGUUUAGUAUAUGUCGGGCACUAUUUUAAGUUCUCUAUCAGGAUAAGUCUUGUAAUCCUUAUAACAACCCUGUGAAGUAGGUUCUAUUAUUAUUCCCAUUUUGGAGAUGAGAGACCCAAGGCACAAAGAGGUCAAAUAACAUGCUCAGGGUUGCUGUAGUGGGUUACAUUCGUGUUUAAAAUAUUAGAUGCUCCUCCCUGUUGGCAUCAGUCUCAGCUAUGUUACUUGCAGUGCUUUCCUUUCUCCAUGUACAUUCGGCCUGACCGGGUGACUGGCAUUGUCCUAUGACAUCUGAACAGAGCAAAAGGUUCCGAGCAAAAGCCUUUUUUUAAAAAAAAGUCAGCUCAGAGUCCACCAUGUUCUUCCCUUCUUUAUCCAGGAAAGCAGUAGUGUUUGAGAGAGGGGAUGUUCUUUCAUAUUGGAUUUGAGCAUAAAGACAGAUGGAGCGGAACUGGAGCUGACCCCAAUAGCACACAUAACAUGACAAAGAACUAAACCUUUGUGAUGUAAGCCACCCGAAUCCUGGAGUUAUUUGUUCAUGCGUUUGUCGUCUUUGGCAGUGUAACAUACAACUACCAGGUCACAUGGGCAUUUAGCAAUAAAC
rnacentral:lncRNA from 1 species